GACGAACGCUGGCGGCGUGCUUUACACAUGCAAGUCGAACGGAGUGGCGAACGGGUGAGUAACACGAAGGUGCCCUGCAUUUAUGCUUGGGGUAAGGAUGGGGAACUGGGUCUAAUAACCGCAAGUGCAAGAUGAGCUCGGGGCCUAUCAGCUUGUUGGUGGGGGAAUGGCCUACCAAGGCGUCGACGGGUAGCCGGCCUGAGAGUGUGUACGGCCACAUUGGGACUGAGAUACGGCCCAGACUCCUACGGGAGGCAGCAGUGGGGAAUAUUGCACAAUGUGCGGAAGCCUGAUGCAGCGACGCCGCGUGGGGGAUGAAGGCCUUCGGGUUGUAAACUCCUUUCGACAGGGACGCGGUACCUGUAUAAGAAGCACCGGCUAACUACGUGCCAGCAGCCGCGGUAAUUC
rnacentral:rRNA from 1 species